UACGUAGGGGGCUAGCGUUAUCCGGAUUUACUGGGCGUAAAGGGUGCGUAGGCGGUCUUUUAAGUCAGGAGUGAAAGGCUACGGCUCAACCGUAGUAAGCUCUUGAAACUGGAGGACUUGAGUGCAGGAGAGGAGAGUGGAAUUCCUAGUGUAGCGGUGAAAUGCGUAGAUAUUAGGAGGAACACCAGUAGCGAAGGCGGCUCUCUGGACUGUAACUGACGCUGAGGCACGAAAGCGUGGGGAGCAAACAGGAUUAGAAACCCUUGUCGGCUGACUGACU
rnacentral:rRNA from 1 species